rnacentral:misc_RNA from 1 species
GAAAUGCGAUAAGUAAUGUGAAUUGCAGAAUUCAGUGAAUCAUCGAAUCUUUGAACGCACCUUGCGCCCUUUGGCAUUCCGAAGGGCACGCCUGUCUGAGCGUCGUGAAAUCCUCCACCCUUACCUUCUUUGUUGCGGGUCUUGGGCUGGGAAUUGGGGGUCUUGCGGGCUUCGUUCCGCUCCCCUUGAAUGCAUUAGUGAGGUUCCGAAAGGGUCUUCGGCGUGAUAGUUAUCUGCGUCGCGGCCCCCCUUCGAACAGGGCCUGGCUUCCAACCGUCUUUAGUCAGACAGAAUUCACUUUGACCUUGACCUCAGAUCAGGCGGGACUACCCGCUGAACUUAA